rfam:Hordeum vulgare subsp. vulgare, WGS project CAJW01000000 data, contig: morex_contig_274600
CUAGUACUUUUUCGGUCCCAAAUUUUUUGUCUUAGUUUUAUCUAGAAAUGAAUGUAUCUAAAUACUAAAGCGUGACUAGAUACAUUCAUAUCUAGACAAAUCUAAGAUAAAUUUUUUGGAACGGAGAGAGUAUCAU